rnacentral:tRNA from 1 species
GGAGGGAUGGCUGAGUGGCUUAAGGCACUCCCCUGCUAAGGGAGAGCGGUUAACGACCGUCGAGGGUUCAAAUCCCUCUCUCUCCG